GUGCUCACUUUGGCAGCACAUAUACUAAAAUUAGAAUGAUACAGAGAAGAUUAGCAUGGCCCCUGGGCAAGGAUAAAUAGUUGGGGAUGCCUUUUAGAUGUUC